AUUCUGCUGUCAUCUCCUUAUUCUUCUACUUAAUGAAGGGAAAUAUCUCCAGAACUGAAAUGUUUAUAUGUAUUUCACUUUUUAAAAAAAUCCAACAUUCAAAUAGGCUUGGGAAAUAAACUUUUUGAGCUAAAUAAACUUAAAGUUUCUUGAGAGGGUGCAUCAUAAAGCCUGAAGAUGCUAACAUGCUUUGCGAGACUCUGACAAGGAGAAAUCAUUCCGUGUUUUGCAAAUUGACUUGAUCUUGGGAAUCCUCUUCCUCCUGACUUGCUCCACCACAAAUCAGGGGUAUGGAAUACGGCAUAGGGAACCAGCUUUGAGAAACACCAGUAAUAGAACUUGAGUUAGAGCCCGUGGAUCCUCUGAAAUUGAUGUUUACCUAUGUGAAAUUUCCAAUGAGAUACUUACAAGAAGCUGCUAAGAUUUGUGCUUCUUAUUGGCUUAUAAAGAUUUUUAAAAAUAUUUUAAUCUGAUAAUGCUGACAAAUUUGGUAUAAAUNNNNNNNNNNNNNNNNNNNNNNNNNNNNNNNNNNAAAAAUAGGUCUAUGUCCUAAUCCUUGGAAACUGUGAGCAUGUUAGUUACAUGGCAAAGAGGAAUUAAGGCUGUGGAUAGAAUUAAAGUGGCCAAUCAGACAAUCUUAAAAUAAGAUUGUCUUGGAUUAUCCAGGUGCACUCAGUGUUAUCACGGGGGUUCCUAAAAGUGGAAGAGAAGCAGAAAAGAGUCAGAGGAAGAUGUGACUACAAAGAAUGGUCAGAGAGACAUAAUGUUACUGGCUUUGAAGAUGGAAGGGGCCACGAGUCAAGGGAUCUGGGCAUCCUGUAGAGGCUAGAAAAGGCGAGCAAGUGGAUUCUCCCCUAGAGCCUCCAGAAAGGAAUACAGCGUGGCUGACCUCUUAAUUUUAGCUGGUGAGACCCAUUUCAGACUUCUGAUUUCCAGAAUUUUCAGAUAAUAAAUGUGCAUUGUUUAAGCCACAGCAUUUACCAUAAUUUUUUUUACAGCAGUCCUGGAAAAAUAGCACAGUAUCAAUCAUGAGUUACUACCCAAUAAGCAUUCUAUUCUCAGAAAAUUAAAAUUAAUAUUGUCAUUGUUAAUGUUCCUCUUUGACACAACCCAAGCAGCCCUGUGAGUUAGGAUGUUACUCCCAUUUUCUGAACUUUGGCUUUUGCUGUUGUUGCUGUUAAGUAAAAUAAGACGAACUGUCCCUUGAUGAUGCAUGGAUUAAGUCAGUCCAUCUCGGCAGCAAGGUGAAGAAAACUGUAUUUUCUUGGCACCUAGUGAAAUAAUCCCUGUUAGAGACCAGCCUUGUUUCUUUACGGGGAAGAGAAAGGACAAGGAAUCCGGGAGUGAGGAGAGGAAGACAGAAGUGGACCCGGCAAAGAUAAAGAACGCUGUGUUCUGGGUAAAAAAACGAAUCCUCAAUCAAGUUUACAGACUCCCACAGUGCUUGAUCAGACUGCAUGUUUUGUGAAAAGUGGUAAAAAGGUCAAAUUCUGUUAUCUUUUGGUGUGUGCACCAAAGAUAGAGAACCCCCACCUCUGCCGGGGUAUGGGGCUGUAGGGGCCCUGAGACUGCAGGGCCACAGGAGCCCCCAGAUCCUGGGAGGACACUGACUAGGCUAAGGUCAGGGGGCUUAAGGUGGAUGAUGGGGUGCCAGAGGAAUUUCAGCUUAGCCCUAGGGGGCCCGCUAAGCACCCAGCUGGCCUCUGAGUGAAAUGUGUAAGGAUCUUAGCCACGUCUCAGCCACAGACACUCCCUGCUGGUGGGUUUGCUGUCACAACGUGGCCUGUCCUCAUGUGUGUCUGCACCAGACACCACGCCCAGGCCACGCUUCAGCAUCACACCCGGCAGAUUUCCUUUCCCAGGGAGUUCUGAAGUCACUUUACCAGGCAGGAGUCCUACAUAAAACCCGAUUGUUUAUGUAAAGCCUGUCUGAUGUACCUUCACAUGCCCCCUGGAUGACUGAAAGCCCUGCUACCACGAACAGACCAAGCUGGUGUUUUAGAAACAUAAUGAACUUCAUUCCACUGACAUGAAGCUCUGAGGAGAAGGUCCUGGGAGAUGAAACUCUCUGGAACCUGGACAGGUUAUGAGCAGUGUCUGUUUCUGUGGCUGCUGCCCGGCUUUAAUGAUGGGAGAGCAGCUGUGGAGCCGCUUAAUGGCCACAUUGGGCUGGGCCUGCCCGCAGCGCUCCCUGAGCCCCCUCCAGUCUCUAAUGAGCAGCGCUGCGGGCAGGCGGUGAUUCAUCUGGCUCCUGCCUCAUUAGAAUGUCAAGCAAGGCUCAGCUGCCUCAAAUCCCUUGUGCAAGGAGGCAGGUUGAAAUUAAAAAUAAAUACACUAGCAAAAGGUUAGUGUAUAUAAAGGAACUCUUCUUUCUCUGAAUUGACUUGGCUUUACUCUUUCUGGUAUAUGUGUCAUUUAGUACCAGGCUCAAAUAUACAAGAAACCUAAUCUAAUCAAGUUAUAACUGAACUUAAUUUGCAUUUUAAGCCCCCACUUCUUUCAAAGUCCCCCACUAAUGUUUUCCUCUGGAUCAGCAUCUAGGGAAUGUGAUGCCUGUAAUACUGAGACAUGGGAAGAGUGACUGCUGAUCAGGUAUUGUCACUGCUCCUCCCUGCCAACCUCUAAGGGGUUUUCAUUCGUGUCUGGUCUUCAGGUAUCACUCUAUGCAGCUCCUUGUCUCAAUAGUGAGGCCCCUCAGGUGUGCCAAUAAUCCGUGCCAUGAAUGUCUGGCUUCAUAAAUAUUCUGCUGCUUCCAAGCACCCAUGCAAGGAAUAUCUGAGGCUGUCUCAUGCUGCAGGCAUCUUUCAGCCCACCCCAAAUAGUUUGUGUUAUGGAUAAAAUAAUAGAAACUGAUGCUGGCUUUUUAAACAGAAAAAAGAUUAUAUCAGAUGUUUAACAGGUGGCUCACAGAAUUAAUGGGAAACUUGGAGAAUUACACAUAGAAAAAUGAACCAAAAGCAGCAAAGGCAAGGCCGCAGGAACAACAAUGAUGGACACUCCAUGUGGAAGGACCUGAUUGGCCAAGGCUGGGUCACGUGAUCUUGCACUGGCGGCUUUACUCACUUUCAUCUUCUGUAAAUGAAUGACACACAAUGGCGGAGUCCCCUGAAGUCAGAAGAGCAUUUAUAUGCUGGACAGGUGAAAUACAGUAAAUGCCCAUGCAAUAGAUCGUGCUAGAAGUGGGAGAGUUCAAAUGCUCAAAUGAUACCACUCAGGUGCUAAUUCCUGGGCUCCAGGUUUCUUUCUCGGGUGAUUGACAUAAGGGCAGUAGAAGAAAUACUUGUGUACUGAGAUUGGGCCAGUAAUUUUUUUUUUUUUUUUGGUCUUUUUUAGGGCCACACCCAUGGCAUAUGGAGGUUCCCAGGCUAGGGGUUGAAUCAGAGCUGUAGCUGCUGACCUAUGCCAUAGCCACAGCAACAUGAGAUCCGAGCCAAGUCUGCAACCUACACCACAGCUCACGGCAAUGCCAGAUCCUUAACUCACUGAGCAGGGCCAGGGAUCAAACCCAUGUCCUCAUGGAUGCUAAUCAGAUGCAUUUCAACUGAGCCACGACAGGAACUCCUUGGGCCAGUAAUCGAGAUGGCCUUGAAGACCCUACACAAACCCUUAUGUGACAUGAGGGACAUCACGAUGGGUAUAACCAAGAACGGUGUGGAUAUGCCACAGAAAAGUGGUGGCCAUUGAGAGGCCUCGAACGGGACCAGGAGGCACCACUAGUGCCCACACAGCACACAGAGGGACUGUAAGGAAUGACUAAGAAUACAGACACCUUGCCACAGUCAGUAAUGACAUGGAACCGUGAUCAGCGGCCUUUCCUACGCAGCAUGUCAGCACCGCUGAAGUCCCAUCCCUGGAUAACUGGAAGCAACACCACGUGCAAGAGAGAGACCCUGGAACAGCUGAGCUGUUCUGCUCCCUGUUGGACUAGGACACCAGAACACACAAUUAAAAGGGUCUAGUUUAAACAACAAGAAGAACAAGAAAAAAUGUGAACUAGUUUGCUUACCAGAAUUUAUGAACAGGUCAUAAUUCUUUAAUAUCAAAUCAUUAUCUACUUGUGACAGUUUGAAAGGCAGCUGCCCAAAGGAAAAUGGAUUCAUGAAAUGAGAAGCAACACUUCUGUCACUGACCAGGAAAGGAGGGGACGUAAGCAGGCCUGUGGAAGGACAGGUCCAGGAGAGGAAAGGGGAGGUUCCCUCUCUGACAGAGGGAGGCCAGCUCGGAGCAGGGAGGAGGGUUUGACGGACACCAAUGUGGUGUUAGAAUGUGGAUGAUAGAGGCAAAGCACUUCAUCAAACCCAGGGCUGCAAAUUAACCUUUACAAAACGAAUGGCUUUUUCAGCGCUGAAUAAAAGUCCCAGUGAAACAGAAGAGGGAGAUGCUGGAACCAUGCUCUAAAUCUGAGUAAGAUGGUGACCUUUGCAUUCUAAUUGCUUGCAGCUAUCUUAAUAUGACAGUUGGCAUUUUUUAACCUUGCACAUGAUAAAAUAACAAUUUUUUAGGAAAAAAAGGUUGAGGUUAAUAAGCUUCCUCCCAACAAAAUCAGACUCCCUCUAGCUGAGGACUAUAAUUGUCAAAACAGCAUUGUGGCUAUUUGACUUCCACCAUGGUAUAGAUAUUUAAUUGAUGAAUGGUUCUGCUCUAUGAAAAAUGGUUUAUUAAAAGGGCAUUCAUUGCCACUGCUUUGUUGAAAAGACUGGUUCUGUGGUAAGUUAAAUGUACCAGCAUUAAACAAGCAUCUAAGAGAAGUAGUGAGAUGCGUUAGAAGGAACACUUGACUCUGGAUCAGAGCUCCACGGCCUUUGGCUGCAUAAGCUCAGUAUUGUGCUCUUUUCUUAAUUUAUCUGUUCACUCAGUGUGACCUUAACCUCUCCUCUUCUAAAUGAAAAUAAUACUUGUCCAGAUUAUCUCACAGGAUUGUCUCUGCAGAUCCAAUAGAUGGUGCUUGUUUCAAUGCUUGUGGCAUUAGCUACACACAAAAGGGUGAAACUUAGAAUAGCUUGAAUUCAUGGUUUAGCAAGAGGAAGAUUUAAGUCCUCACUCUGCAUCUUACUGGCUGUGUGCCCCUAUGAAGCUCACCUUCCUCAUUACAGAAUGCAGAUCACACCUGCCACAUCUUAGCGCUGUUGGUGAAUGUUAGAAAUGUAGAGGUCCUCAUUCACAAGCACAUAUUUGCUCAAUAAACAAAUAGAUAUUCUAAGACGGACCACGUAAUAUUUCUUCAUAAUAUACAAAUUUGAGGUAUUCCUUCCAACCCAUAAUUAUGUGCCCAGGGCUUGCCCUGGGGGAAGACCAAAUCCUCAGACAAUGACUCUGGAAUAGGCCUGACGAGUCAGACCACAAGGCUGGCCCUGUGGGGUAGGAGGGGACAGGAGACCUCUGCACACGUCAUGACACUUUGCUUAUAUUUUAGGUGAACAGUUUACAGUGGAAAUAUUCUUUUCCAUUUUAAAACCUCUGCUUUGGAGAACUAAUGUGCUCUUUUCUUAAUUUAUCUGUUCACUCAUUUAAUCCAUGUAUUCACCCACUCAUUCAUUCAUUAUUCAUUCAAAAAGUAUUUGCAAGUCUUUGUCUUUUAUAUGAGAAGUAUUGUUAUAACUACCAGGAGAUUGUAAGUAUAAAAUAUAUAUAUAUUAGGCUAACAGCUAGAACAAGCCAGUUAAUUUACAAAAUCAGAGCUUUUUAAAAACCACCUGGGGAGUUCCUGUCGUGGCGCAGUGGUUAAUGAAUCCAACUAGGAACUGUGGGGUUGCGGGUUUGAUCCCUGGCCUUGCUCAGUGGCUUAAGGAUCCGGCGUUGCCAUGAGCUGUAGUGUGGGUUGCAGAUGUGGCUUGGAUCCCGCGUUGCUGUGGCUCUGGUGUAGGCCAAAGGCUGCAGCUCUGAUUCGACCCCUAGCCUGGGAAACUCCAUAUGCCACGGGAGUGGCCCAAGAAAUGGCAAAAAAAAAUAAAUAAAUAAAAAAUAAAAAA
rnacentral:lncRNA from 1 species